CAGCGUUCCUCCCGCCUCCACGGCGCCGAGCCCUGAUUGACGUUCAGCCAGGCCAAUCAUAGCCUCAGUGUCUGAGGCGCGCGGAGCUGGAGGGCCCAGGGCACGUCCGCGGAUACCAAGGAGGCAAUCUGUCAGGCGCCGCCGCCCGGGCGGCAGUAUACCUGAGGGUGUCCUCCGUGUUCGCGCCUCCCGCCGCCUGCACUGAAAGGUCUGUACCUGAGCCUGGAUACUUGAACAGAGGCAGACACUGCGGCUCAAAACCCCAAGGAAUAUCCUAGCUCUGAGACAAAAAUUGGGAACCUCAGCAUGAGUUUGUCACCUGAAUGAAAUUAAAAAAAUCACGUUGAAGGCUGGGUGCAGUAACACGUGCCUGUAGUCCCAGCUACUCUGGAGGCUGAGUCAGGAGGAUCACUUGAGACCAGAAGUUCAGGAAUUCAAGACUGGCUUGAGCAACAUAGCAAGACUUCAUUUCAAAACAAACAGAAAAAAACCACCACCUUCAGUAUUUCUUGCCAAAGCAAAGGAGCCAUUUGUUCUUUACGAUGGUCAGGAAAGGAAGCAUCAAGGUCAUCAAAUGAAAAAUUUUCAGCAUUUCAGCCUCUCUGCUCAGGGAAAUAUCUGAAUCUAGAAUAUCACAACAUAAGCCAAAACCGCCCCAUUUCUCAUGCCACAUGUCACUCUUAACACAAGGUUACUCAACCUCGAGCAUGGUUGGCAUUUGGGGCUGAAUAAUUCUUUUUUGUAGGGGGCUGUCCUGGGCAUUGUAGGAUGCUCAUGAGCUACCUCAGUCUCUACCACCCACUAGAUGCCAGUAGCAUUGACCCCUGAUCUCUCUACCCAAGUUGUGACAACUAAAACCAUCUCUGGAUAAUGGAGGAACCUUAAAUGCAUAUUGCUAAGGAAAAGCCAAUCUGAAAGGAUUACAUAUCGUAUGAGUCCAACUAUAUGGUAAUCUGGAAAAGGCAAAACCAUGGAGACAGUAAAAAGGUAGUGGUUACCAGUGGUCCAUGGGAAGGAUUGGAUGAAUAGGUGGAGCACAAAGGAUUUUUAAGGCAGUGAAACUAUUCUGAAUGAUACUGUAAUGGUGGUUACAUGUCAUACCUUUGUCAAAACCAAUAAAAUAUAACAACCAAUAAAACUGCACAAAGAGUGAACCCUAAUGUAAACUAUGGACUUAAUAAUGUAUCAAUAUUGGCUCACCAAUUUUAACAAAUGUACCACACUAAUGCAAGAUGUUACUAAUAGUGGAAACUGGAGGGAAGAGGGCUUGAGGGGACAUAUGGGAACUCUCUGUAAUUCCUGUUCAGUUUUUCUGUAACUGUUAAACUGUCCAAAAAAAGUCUGUUUUUAUAAAUGGAGGCAUGGUUUU
rnacentral:lncRNA from 1 species